rnacentral:lncRNA from 1 species
UUUCCAAAUGUCUUACGGGUCAAUAAAAAACAAGUUUACCUAUAAACCAAGCAGAACUUGCUCCUGACUCCCACCUCACCCCUCAAAGAGGAGCACAUUACUGUGACCUCUGAGAUGUGGCACAGUGUGUGCAGGCUCACUUUGCCAGAUGACUGGAACUCUGCGGCCUUUCUGAAAGGGGGCACAUCAUCCCUUCCAUGAUGCCCAGGCAAUGACAGAAAGAUCAGGUGGGCAAUGAAGAGUUAAUCAGGCGCAAUUCUGUGAGAAAUUCCAUGAAUUAAUGAAACCACAUCUUGAGCCCAUGUAGGCUCAGGGCCAAAAGAGAGCCGCAGGCCAUGCGUCCUGCUGGAAGGAGGAGUCACGCAGCAGGAUGCAGCAGAAAGCCUCAAGGAGGCAGCAGAGACUGCAUCUGGACCUGGGCCUUCCCGAGAGGCAGGUACUGUUAGAUGAAAACUGAGGCAUGGAGAGAUUAGGUACUGCCCUCCAGUCACCUGCUGUGAAGUGGCAAGAUCUGAAUCUUGGAUUUGAACUUUGGGCAACCUGGCUCCAGAGCAUGGAAACUUGGCCACUAUGUUGUGCAAGUUCUUGGAGGAUGUGUGAAAUCUAGGCCAGGGCUGUCCAGGAGACAGGCAAUGGGAGCCACAUAGGUGAUUUUAAAUAUCUAGCAGCCACAUAUGAAUAAGAAAGAAGAAAGACGUGAAUUAAUUAAAUACUAAGUGUUUCAAAUCCUGUGACUAUUUUACACUUACAGUACAGCUCCAUUGCAGGUGCAUAUGUGGCUAGUGGCCACUGUUUUGGACAGCGAAUGUUUAGACCGCUGGAGAGGAAAGAGGAAGACCACCCAGAAUGGGAGGAAAUCAACUUGCAUGCUCAAGUGGAGCAAAGCACUGGGUAAAUGUGCACACGUUGCAGGGCUCUGCUGCUCGCCGGUGGAGCCCCGAGGAGGAGAAUGAAGAUGAGCUUGCCUUCUCGAGCCACCCUAAAGCUGGGAUGGAGCCUUGCAUCGAGUUUCAUGAAGGGAAUGAUGGAGGGAAAGUACGAAGCUCAGGAAAACAGAGCAAAGUUAAGCACGUCCUCAAUCCAUGGCCCCCAAUCCUCACCAUUCUGGGCAAGGCCUUUUCUCCUUUUUUUAACUUUGUUUUAUACAUUUCCUCUUCAUCCCUGGCUCCUCCUUGCCCCAGCCCCAAUACUAAUAUGUGCUUGGACAUGUGUGUAUAUCAAUACACUUGAAAUUUUAUGAUGUUAUAUUGUCUUUGUAUGCAUUUUAAAUAUGUAUGUAUAUAUAUGUGUGUGUGUGUAUAAAAGUAGACUGUGGA